rnacentral:rRNA from 1 species
CCUACGGGAGGCAGCAGUGAGGAAUAUUGGUCAAUGGACGAGAGUCUGAACCAGCCAAGUAGCGUGAAGGAUGACUGCCCUAUGGGUUGUAAACUUCUUUUAUAUGGGAAUAAAAUGUUCCACGUGUGGGGUUUUGUAUGUACCUUAUGAAUAAGGAUCGGCUAACUCCGUGCCAGCAGCCGCGGUAAUACGGAGGAUCCGAGCGUUAUCCGGAUUUAUUGGGUUUAAAGGGAGCGUAGAUGGGUUGUUAAGUCAGUUGUGAAAGUUUGCGGCUCAACCGUAAAAUUGCAGUUGAUACUGGCAGGCUUGAGUAUAGUUGAGGUAGGCGGAAUGCGUGGUGUAGCGGUGAAAUGCUUAGAUAUCACGAAGAACUCCGAUUGCGAAGGCAGCUUACUAAGCUAUCACUGACAUUGAUGCACGAAAGUGUGGGGAUCAAACAGGAUUAGAUACCCGGGUAGUC